CAGGCCUAACACAUGCAAGUCGAACGAGAAAGGGUUCUUCGGAACCUGAGUAAAGUGGCGCACGGGUGAGUAACGCGUGGAUAACCUACCCCUGAAUUUGGGAUAACAUCGCGAAAGCGGUGCUAAUACCGGAUGAUAUCAAUCUGUCUUCGGGCGGGUUGGUCAAAGAUGGCCUCUUCAUGAAAGCUAUUGUUUGGGGAUGGGUCCGCGUCCCAUUAGUUAGUUGGUGGGGUAACGGCCUACCAAGACGUCGGUGGGUAGCUGGUCUGAGAGGAUGAUCAGCCACACUGGGACUGACACACGGCCCAGACUCCUACGGGAGGCAGCAGUGAGGAAUUUUGCGCAAUGGGGGAAACCCUGACGCAGCAACGCCGCGUGAGUGAUGAAGGCCUUCGGGUCGUAAAGCUCUGCCAAGUGGGAAGAAACCCCUUGUGGCUAAUAUCCACAAGGCUUGACGGUACCACUGAAGGAAGCACCGGCUAACUCCGUGCCAGCAGCCGCGGUAAUACGGAGGGUGCAAGCGUUAUUCGGAAUUAUUGGGCGUAAAGGGUGCGUAGGCGGCCCGUUAAGUCAGAUGUGAAAGCCCGGGGCUUAACCCCGGAACUGCAUUUGAUACUGGCGGGCUUGAGUAUGGGAGAGGAAAGCGGAAUUCCUGGUGUAGCGGUGAAAUGCGUAGAUAUCAGGAGGAACACCGGUGGCGAAGGCGGCUUUCUGGACCAAUACUGACGC
rnacentral:rRNA from 1 species